rnacentral:rRNA from 1 species
AUGAACGCUGGCGGCGUGCCUAAUCCAUGCAAGUCGAGCGAACAGACGAGGAGCUUGCUCCUCUGACGUUAGCGGCGGACGGGUGAGUAACACGUGGAUAACCUACCUAUAAGACUGGGAUAACUUCGGGAAACCGGAGCUAAUACCGGAUAAUAUAUUGAACCGCAUGGUUCAAUGGUGAAAGACGGUUUUGCUGUCACUUAUAGAUGGAUCCGCGCCGCAUUAGCUAGUUGGUAAGGUAACGGCUUACCAAGGCAACGAUGCGUAGCCGACCUGAGAGGGUGAUCGGCCACACUGGAACUGAGACACGGUCCAGACUCCUACGGGAGGCAGCAGUAGGGAAUCUUCCGCAAUGGGCGAAAGCCUGACGGAGCAACGCCGCGUGAGUGAUGAAGGUCUUCGGAUCGUAAAACUCUGUUAUUAGGGAAGAACAAAUGUGUAAGUAACUAUGCACGUCUUGACGGUACCUAAUCAGAAAGCCACGGCUAACUACGUG